rnacentral:rRNA from 1 species
AUGCUCGACAUCAACCUCUUCCGCAAGGAGAAGGGCGGCGACCCUGAGCUUGUCCGCGAGUCGCAGCGCAGACGCUCCGCCGACGCCAAGCCCGAAACAUUAGAAGAAAACGUUGCGCUCGUCGACGAGGUCAUCGUCCUCGACGAGGCGUGGCGCCAGAGGCAGUUUGAGCUUGACAAGAUCCGGCAGGAGCUCAACAAGACCAGCAAGGAGAUCGGCAAGCUCAAGGCCAAAAAGCAGGAUGCGACGGAGCUGAUACAGAGCACAGAGGAGAUCAAGAGGAGGCUGGCCGCCAAGGAGAAGGAUGUGGAGGAGGCCAAGACCACCCUCGAUGCCAAGCUCGUCACCAUUGGCAACCUCGUGCAUGAAUCUGUGCCCAUCAGCGGCGACGAGGCAAACAAUGCUAUUGUCCGGACAUGGGGAGAGAGGAGACUGGAGGAGAACUUGAAGAAUCAUGUGGAUCUUUGCCUAAUGCUUGACAUUGCAUCUUUGGACAAGGGUGCCGAUGUAGCUGGUGGAAGAGGUUUCUUUUUGAAGGGCAAUGGUGUCCUCCUGAACCAGGCAUUGAUAAAUUUUGGCCUAACAUUCCUGAGAAUACGAGGCUUCACACCAAUGCAAACUCCUUUUUUCAUGAGAAAGGAAAUCAUGGCAAAAUGUGCCCAGUUGGCCCAAUUUGAUGAGGAGCUCUAUAAAGUAACAGGUGACGGAGACGAUAAGUAUCUCAUAGCUACAUCCGAGCAACCACUAUGUGCUUAUCAUCUGGGUGAUCGGAUAUAUCCUGCUGAUUUGCCAAUUAGAUAUGCUGGGUUCUCCACGUGCUUCCGGAAAGAAGCUGGUUCACACGGGAGGGAUACAGCUGGCAUCUUCAGAGUCCACCAGUUUGAAAAGAUCGAACAGUUCUGUGCCACAAGUCCAAAUGACAAUGAAUCCUGGGAAAUGCACGAGGAGAUGAUAAAAAAUGCAGAAGAUUUUUAUAAGGAGAUUGGCCUACCAUAUCAACUAGUUUCGAUUGUCUCUGGUGCGCUUAAUGAUGCAGCAGCUAAGAAGUAUGAUUUGGAAGCAUGGUUCCCUGCGUCAAAAACAUUCAGAGAACUAGUAUCCUGUUCAAAUUGCACAGAUUAUCAGGCAAGGAGACUUGGAAUAGGCUAUGGCCAGAAAAAGAAUGACGAGCAGUCGAAACAGUUUGUUCAUAUGUUGAAUUCUACGCUGACUGCAACUGAGAGGACCCUAUGCUGUAUUCUGGAGAACUACCAGAGGGAGGAUGGGGUUGAAGUGCCAAAAGCACUGCAGCCAUUCAUGGGUGGGAUAGAUUUCCUUCCUUUCAAGCGUCCUCUUGAUAGCAAACAAGCUGCUGACUCCAAACCCAGCAAGUCUAAACCAAAGGGAAAUGCAGCUUGA